rnacentral:lncRNA from 1 species
AGUCUAAGGUUGCUCCCACCAGACUAGGAGGACUGGAGAGUAGGGUUGGGGUCAAAGGGUAGCCUCCUGCAGGUCGCCUCCUCCUGUGGCUUUCCCGGACGUCGCGCUGGGACUUCCUGCCGACACCGCACUUCUUCCCAGACUCCCACCUGCGCCGCUGGGGGCUUGGGUCCAGUCUUGCUCUGCCACCCAACCCUGGAGUGCAAUGGCGCAAUCUUGGCUCACUGCAACCUCUGCUUCCCAAGUUGAAGUGAUUCUCCUACCUCAGCCUCCCGAGUAGCUGGGAUUACAGGCAUGUGCCACCACACCUGGCUGAUCUUUCUUUUAGUAGAGAUGGGGUUUCACCAUGUUGUCCAGGCUGGUCUCGAACUCCUGACUUCGUGAUCCACCCACCUUGGCCUCCCAAAGUGCUGGGAUUACAGGUAUGAGCCACCACGCCUGGCCUGCAAUUCUAUAUAUAUUUUCAUCCAUUUGAAAUUUUUUGUUUUAACGUAUCUGUCAUAAGUUAUAGGGGCAAUUCUGAAACUGCCCCUAUAAACUUUAUAAAAUUAAUCAGGAAAGAAGAGAGAGGGAUAAAUGAAAAACCAAGCUUAUAGCACAUUCAACAUUAAUGAAGUUUAAUCUCUGACCUACUUCUUCAUAGUUCACUGGUGCCUAUUGUCCUAGAAUCAUGUAGACCCUGUGUAUUAGUCUGUUCUCAUGCUGCUAAUAAGGACAUACUACCUGAGACUAGGUAACUAAUAAAGGAAAGAGGUUUAAUGAACUCACAGACCCUCAUGGCUGGAGAGGCCUCACAAUCAUGGCCCAAGACGAAGAGCAAAGGGAUAUCUUACAUGGUGACAAGCAAGACAGCGUGUGCAGGGGAACUGCCCUUUUAUAAAAUCAUACGUUCGUGAGACUUAUUCACUACCAUGAGAACAGCACAGAAAAACCCACCCCCGUGAUUCAGUUACCUCCCACUGGGUCCUUCCCAUGACAGGUGGGGAUUCUUACAAUUCAAGGUGAGAUUUGGGUAGGAACACAGGCAAACCAUAUCACCCUGUUACAAGAUUAACUACUCUAUUGAUAACUUGACCAUUAUAAAACAUUAAGUUUUUCCUUUGAGAUACUCUUUCACACUUUUUACAUGCUGAUAUACCUACCAUUUCAGGUGGUCUGAAGGACCCCAUUGACUCAGCUGGUCUGAGGGGCACCACGAGCUGACUUACCAAAGAAUCUAGUUUCCACAUCCUGAUGACUUUAUCCUGCUUGCUCUGACCAUCAACAACCCUAAUUCUCCAGUCCUUCACCCUCCCUGAUCCCCUUUAAAACUCCAGCCUGGAACUUCUUGGGGAUAUAGAUGUCUCCUCCUAUCUCCUUACUUGGCGCCCUGUGGUAAUUAAACUCUCUGCUUAAUCCGUGUCUGUGUAAUUGGUCUGCUACUACACAGCAGACAUAUGAACCUGUUGGUUCUAUAACAAUUCUAAAGUCCUUGUCUGCUAAUUCCAACUUCUCAUAUCAUCUAUGGGUCUAUUUUUGUUGGACCUUUUUCUCCUGAUGAUUGGUAACAUUGACCUGCUGCUCUGCACAUCAUGUGAUGUUUUAAGUUGGAUGUGGAUAUUAUGCUUAAAAGAACAGCAGAAAUUGAAAAAUAUUUUCAUCUGGAAGUCACUCCAUUUCCUCUGCCAAGCAGUUUAGAUUUCCAGGGUCUUUGAAGAUGUUAGUUCACUGUUUAUUCAUGUGGGUUCCUGUAAAUGUCUGCAGCCAAUCUGGAAGUGGAGCUGUAUUUGGAACUUUUUGAAUCUAAAUCAGUUUGGGAGAAGUGAGUCUUUUCAGAAUUUGACCUUUCAAUGAAUGUCUCAAAUUUGUUUACGUCAUCUUUAAUGUUUUCAAUACUGUCUUCAAAACAAUUUGGUAAGUUUAAAAUUUAUUCUUCCACAAUUUUGGUAAGUUUAAAAUUUAUUCUUCCAUAUGUUAUACCAUUGUUGCUCUUAUAAAUGGUAUUGACUUUUAAAUUUUAUUAUUUCUAUUCCUGAGUAUAAGUUGCAAGUUUAUCUUUAUUAAGAUAGUAAACAUUUUCAUUAAUUUAAAUAUAGAUCCUUUGAAAUUUUCCAUUUAGGUAAUCAUAUUAUAAAUAAUGACAGAUUUACUUCUACCUUUCUGGUCCUUAGGUUUUUAAAUAUCUUUUCCUAGCCUGCCUCACUUAAGAUUCCAGUAAAAUACUAAGUAGUGGAUACCAUUGUCAUCUUCCUGAUUUUAAACUCAUUUUCUAUUUUCCACCAUUCAUUUAUUGUUUACUUUUGCAUUUUUUUAUACAAUGUUUAUCAUAUUUUCAAAGAUUUUUCUCAGUAAUACCUCUUUAUGGCUUUUUCUUUAUCUACUGAGAUUAUCCUAUUUUUUCAAUAAUGCAUUAAAUGCUUUGAACACUGCCUCAUUCAUUCUAGGUGCCUAGUAAUUAUUAGUAUGAGUGAAUGAGUAAUAAGCCUAUUUUAAAAGUGAAUUGUAUUUAUUGAUUUUUCUAAUGUAAAACCAACUUUGCAUUUCUGGAUAAAUUUAAAUGCGAUAUGAUGGUUUCUUUUUAAAAAAUACCCAGUUCCGGCCAGGCAUGGUGGCUCACACCUGUAAUCCCAGCACUCUGGGAGGCUGAGGUGGGCAGAUCACGAGGUCAAGAGAUCCAGACCAUCCUGGACAACAUGGUGAAACCCCAUCUCUAACUAGCUGGGUGUGGUGGCCCUUGCCUGUAGUCCCAGCUACUCCGGAGGCUGAGGCAGGAGAAUCACUUGAACCCAGGAGGCGAAGGUUUGCAAUGAGCUGAGAUUGCGCCACUGCACUCCAGCCUGGCAACAGAGCGAGACUGCAUCUCAAAAAAAAAAACGAAAAAAAAAAAAAACCCAGUUUCCUUCUAUUUCAUAAAUUAUUUUUGAAGGUUUUCAGGCUUCAUUCUGUCCUUGUCUGAGUUUGUUAUCCUGCCCUCAUAUACUGCCAGAAUGUUUUUGUUUUUUGUUUUUUUGAAAUGGAGUUUCGCUCUUGUUGCCCAGGCUGGAGUGCAACGGUCCAAUCUCGGCUCACUGCAACCUCUGCCUCCCGGGUUCAAGCGAUUCUCCUGCCUCAGCCUCCCAAGUAGGUGGGGUUACAGGCAUGUACCACCAUGCCCAGCUAAUUUUGUAUUUUUGGUAGAGAUGGGGUUUCUCCAUGUUGGCCAGGCUGGUCUCGAACUCCCAACCUCAGGUGAUCCGCCCGCCUUGGCCUCCCAAAGUGCUGGAAUUACAGGCGUGAGCCACCGCGUCUGGCCGAGAACGUGUUAUUUUUCUAAAUUCUCCAAGUGUUGUCAUAUUGCGUCAAUAUGGUGCCUCCAGAAACCAAAAAAACCGACCAAGCAUUGUGCUGUUUGUGAUUAGUAGUACAAAUUGCAGCAAUUCUCCUUUCACCUUAGAGGGAAUAUCUUGACAAGCGCCAGACAACUGAACCCCUAGAAACUUCAGGUGGUUAGCCUGAAUGUUUGGGUGUAUUCCCCAACAAACAUUCACGUCUGUCUUACGAAAGAACUCAUAAAGGCAUCAAUAGAGAGGACAAGUUGUGGGAUGUAAAGAUGACCAUACCUGCUGGAUGUUAUUGCAAGCAACAGUAUAACUGAUGUAACGCUGAGAAAAAGUAAGUUGCUCCUGGUUGUCCUUACAGGUUGAGAAAAUGGUAUUUCUAGGUCAGUAGCUCACAUUUGUAGUAAAUUAAUGAACAUUAGUUAUUAGGGGAAAAGUAUGGGCACUAAUAGCACAAUUUGCCAGAAACAUAAAAUGAGUAAACUUAAAUGUACCCAAUUACAGUGCCCCCCAAAAAAGGAGAGUUUUUUUUUUUUUUUUUUCCCUGAGACACGGUCUUGCUGUGGCCCGGGCAGGAAUGCAGUGGCAUGACCUCGGCUCACUGCUACCUCUGCCUCCUGGGCUCAGGUGAUCCUCUCACCUCAGCCUACUGAGUAGCUGGGACUUACAGGUACACAAUACCAUACCUGGCUAACUUUUUUUUGUUUUGUUUUUUGUAGAGAUGGAGUUUCGGCUCAUUGGCUGGGCUUGGUCUUGAACUGGUAAGCUCAAGUGAUCUGCCCGCCUUGGGCUCCCAGACAUGCACCACUGCACCUGGCCUAGAGAGAGAGAUUUUUAAAGAAAACAAUUUGGCUGGGGGCGGUGACUCACACUUGUAAUCCUAGCACUCUGGGAGGCCAACACAGGCAGAUCACUUGAGAUCAGGAGUUCAAAACCAGCCUGGCCAACAUGGCGAAACCCCACCUCUACUAAAAAUACAAAAAAGUAGCUAGGCGUGGUGGCAUUUGCCUGUAAUCCCAGCUACUUGGGAGGAUGAGACACGAGAAUCACUUGAACUCAGAAGGCGGAGGUUGCACUGAGCUGAGAUCACACCACUGCACUCCAGCCUGGGCAACACAGCAAGACCUAAUUAUUCCUUUUUUGGUAGAGAUGGGGUCUCACUGUGUUGCCUCAGCUGAUUUCAAGCUCCUAGACUUAAGUGAUCCUUCUGCCUCAGAAAACACAAUUUUUCAACCAUACUUGAACGAUUCCUAAAACUUGACCAUUUAUUAGAUGUAACAGUUGGGACUGAAAUCAGCUGAAAGAGGAACUUCC